rnacentral:rRNA from 1 species
CACUCCUGCGGGAGGCAGCAGUGGGGAAUAUUGGACAAUGGGCGCAAGCCUGAUCCAGCCAUGCCGCGUGAGUGAUGAAGGCCCUAGGGUUGUAAAGCUCUUUCACCGGAGAAGAUAAUGACGGUAUCCGGAGAAGAAGCCCCGGCUAACUUCGUGCCAGCAGCCGCGGUAAUACGAAGGGGGCUAGCGUUGUUCGGAAUUACUGGGCGUAAAGCGCACGUAGGCGGAUCGAUCAGUCAGGGGUGAAAUCCCAGGGCUCAACCCUGGAACUGCCUUUGAUACUGUCGAUCUGGAGUAUGGAAGAGGUGAGUGGAAUUCCGAGUGUAGAGGUGAAAUUCGUAGAUAUUCGGAGGAACACCAGUGGCGAAGGCGGCUCACUGGUCCAUUACUGACGCUGAGGUGCGAAAGCGUGGGGAGCAAACAGGAUUAGAAACCCUAGUAGUCCC